UGGAGAAGUCUCCUCCCGUUCGGACC
rnacentral:piRNA from 1 species